GGAAUAUUGGACAAUGGGGGCAACCCUGAUCCAGCCAUGCCGCGUGUGUGAAGAAGGCCUUAGGGUUGUAAAGCGCUUUCAGUGGGGAGAAACGUAAUUUACUUAAUACGUAAGUUAAUUGAUGGUACCCACAGAAGAAGAACCGGCUAACUCCGUGCCAGCAGCCGCGGUAAUACGGAGGGUGCAACCGUUAAUCGGAAUUACUGGGCGUAAAGCGCACGUAGGCGGUUAGUUAAGCCAGCUGUGAAAUCCCCGGGCUCAACCUGGGCACUGCAGUUGGAACUGGCUAGCUAGAGUAUGGUAGAGGGGUGUGGAAUUUCAGGUGUAGCGGUGAAAUGCGUAGAUAUCUGAAGGAACACCAGUGGCGAAGGCGGCACCCUGGACCAAUACUGACGCUGAGGUGCGAAAGCGUGGGGAGCAAAC
rnacentral:rRNA from 1 species